GGGCGAUAUGGACCAUUGAGCUCCAAUCUCCAAGAAGAAGAACAAGGACAAUAACAAGAAGGGUACCAUAUCCGGUUCAGCGAGCAAGUUUUUCCGCGGACAACAAGUCGGACUCACAAUCGAAGAGUCGACUGGGCCAAAGGUGCAGCCGACAGACUCUGAGGACAUGCGGAAGGGAGCCCAACCUGCAUUUGAACACAACAGACAAUCAAAGCAGAGGAAAAAGUUGCAAGUUGGAUGGCAGUCUGCUUGACCCUGGGUGGCGAAGUGGUCGGCUCGUGAGUAGAAUGUCGGACAAGUGCGCUGACCUGAGAAGAAAGACAUUUGAGGCCGAUCAUGUUGACUGCUGCCUGAAGGGGGGGGGGGGGGAGUCUAACACUGCGGGAAACAUGCUUGUUGAAAUGAAUUGAGCCUUCUUACCAGCAGAUGGCUCAGUCACAUUUGGCCUCAGACUCCACCUGGAUGACAAAGUACAGAUUAAUUCACUGGAAUCUUUUGCCGCAACACUUGCUCCAGCGACUCAUCCAAGGUGGCCAAACCUGCCAAUGUCACAAAGGCUCGUCAACUCCUUUUUGUACCUUUGAACAGCAACGUUGAAAAUGGAGGCAGCGGUGAGGACCUACUACAAGCUUGUCGCAUUUGUCUCUUUGCCCAGCAGGCAGAGGGUCUGACUUGAAGCUGCACUGCAUGCAGAAUGAAAGAAAAAGCAGGUGAAUCGUGACGCCACGUUUCCCGAGGGCCUGCACCAGCGCCGCCUCCAACCAACAGUUCCAGGACUUCGGAAUUUUGCGACAGGCCCAAACCUUGAGGACGACUCGACUUCACAACGUGGUUCUUCAGCACCACCUGGCGGAUAAGAGCGGGACAAACGCAAUGUUCAGUGUCACUCUCCCGCCCGUUUCCUCCGCUGGUGCAACACCUGAUUUAAAUGAUCAGAUCAUCAGCAAGGUCGUUGAAAGCCGGACAGCAACUAUGAUCUUUUGUCUCCGUAUGCGAGAGAGCAAGAAAGGAGCCCCGCUACCGUUUAAUUUUAGCCACAGCCACCUCUGGAGGUGGUCCUGUGAUUAAACCAAACUUCUCAAAUUUCUGGAUUUGACACCUGUGCUCAAUUAGGUGCUUUUGUAAUUACGAGUACUCACAUGUGCACCUCUAUAGAAGAGUUGGCUUCACUUGUGAAGAGAGCAGAGCUGGACGCUUCGACAGCACGGUGGGCUGAAAGACACGGUAACGUUAACCCUCGACUCUUAAAUAUUCAAACCUUACAAGCGUGUGGCUGGGCACCCCGAUAUUUGGAAGAUCCAAACGCCACAGGAUGGCAGCCAUUUUAAGAGUCAUUCUGUUGAGGUGAGCCUGUGUAGACAGGAGUGAGAAUAGACACAUUUGGGAUUUAGUCUGAUAUGAAUUCAAAAGUGGCAGUUUUACCUUGCAGUCGAUUUGGCCAUUCUGUAGAAGAUGCAAAGCCUGUGGACAGAAAAGAGAUUAGUUGGGCUUGCUCCAAAUGGUUCACAACACGAUUUGAAGAUUUUUACCUGUGAACGGAAAUGGCACAAUUAGUAUGCACACAUGCAUAUUCGGUUUAAUUGUGAAUUUGGAAAUGAGUUUUGUCUACUUACCCUCUCGGCGAAUGUAGCUUUCCUAGGAAGUUGGAGAAAGUGUUUGUUGCAAGGUUGCAGGAGACGUUAAUUGCAAUGCUCGAGCAAACAUUUUUGCUUUGCAUGUCGGCCCGGUGCGAGCACGUUGAACGUGCUGCUUUCCAUUCAAAGUGAGGAAAUGGGAGUGUUUUGAGAGGCUAUUAAAGAGUAAAAAGUCACCUUGUUCGGGUUCUGCGUGAUCUUGUAGACAGGCGUGCGGAGCAGGAGCAGAGUGUAGCCAAGCGCAGGCUGUCAAAAGACAGCAAGAAUGAUUGACUCGUUGUCGCCGUUUAAAUAGGUUUCCGGUGAUUACGUCACUUCCGGUAAAACAUAUUUAAAUAUUAAGCGAAGACCCGGGCUCGAACCGGAGUUCACGAGGGGGGACUCGCAUUCGUAUACCAUUGGGCCAUAGUCUGACAGUUCUAGCCGCUGCUUUUACAUAAAUAUAUGUAACAAAGAACGUCAAUGUGAAGGAAAAAUGAAGGUGUUUAAUGCCAACACCUUUGACCGAACAUGAGUUCACCAGGUGGGACUCACAGUCGUAUACCAUUCAACUAUAGACUGACAGGUACAGCUCCUGCUUUUACAUAUAUAUAAUAGAGAACAUCAAUGUGAAGGUGAAUCAUUAGCUACCUGAAAUGUUUGUUCAGUGACCUUGCAUGGUCUAAUGGAAAACGACGAUACUUGUUACCCGCAAAACCCAUUUUUGAUUCUUGCUUAAUAUAUAAAAUGGACCACAUGGUGGGGCUCGAACUCGGUUCGCCUGACAACCAAGCGAUGUCUUUUACCAUUCGGCUAUUUUGGCGCGAAAAUUUUCAAUUUUUUACAUGUAAUCAUAGGCCGCCAGGCAUAUGAUGUGCAGGAUCAAAAAGCAACAUGUUUGGUUGAAACUCCUGGAGUUAUCGUGGAGUGUUCGCUUUUAGUUCAAACUUCUAACUUUGGUGACAGGAUAUCCGGGUUCGACUCUUGCUAAAUUUAUAAAUGGAGAGCAGACGUUCGAACUCGUUCUGCCUGCCUACACAGGGAUGUAUUUUACCGCCAUGCCAUCCCUGCACGGAAAUUUCGAUUUUUUUAUGUAGUCAAAGGCGGCUGACCACGAGCGGGGGUUUUAAGGUAAAAAACAUUAUUGGUGAGACGGUUGGCGUCUCGCGGGCGAUGUGACGGCACUUCAACCUCACCCGCCACCCCUCGACCACGCCAGUAUUUCCUACCGCUGCCCGCCUCAGAACGCCACCCUGAGAUCAGGAGAGAGAGUUUGCAAAGCCAACUUUGUUUUCGAUUGAAGACGAGUUGCACAAUGAGAUCGUGUCGUUUUGUCAUUGUGCUUUCUUGGCGAUCGUGAAUAAAGUACAAAUAAAACACCCAUACGCACACUUCCAAA